rnacentral:rRNA from 1 species
GAUGAACGCUGGCGGCGUGCCUAAUACAUGCAAGUCGAGCGAACGGACGAGAAGCUUGCUUCUCUGCUGUUACCGGCGGACGGGUGAGUAACACGUGGAUAACCUACCUAUAAGACUGGGAUACCUUCGGGAAACCGGAUCUAAUACCGGAUAAUAUUUUGAACCGCAUGGUUCAACAGUGAAAGACGGUCUUGCUGUCACUUAUAGAUGGAUCCGCGCUGCAUUAGCUAGUUGGUAAGGUAACGGCUUACCAAGGCAACGAUGCAUAGCCGACCUGAGAGGGUGAUCGGCCACACUGGAACUGAGACACGGUCCAGACUCCUACGGGAGGCAGCAGUAGGGAAUCUUCCGCAAUGGGCGAAAGCCUGACGGAGCAACGCCGCGUGAGUGAUGAAGGUCUUCGGAUCGUAAAACUCUGUUAUUAGGGAAGAACAUAUGUGUAAGUAACUGUGCACAUCUUGACGGUACCUAAUCAGAAAGCCACGGCUAACUACGUG